GGAUGGUUCUGAGAGACUAGCCGGGAAAUAAGGAAACCCUGGUCUAGAUCCACUUCGUUGGUUAUCCAUUCUUUUAAAGUAGGCAGCCUUGAGGCAGCCUACAAAUGGAGGUGGAGUCAUGCAGAAGAGAGAAGCUUUGCAGAAGUGUGGCGGUGAGAAUGGGAAAAUGAUAUGACGAGAAUGAGCCUGACGUGUUGUAAGGAAAGUGCUUGCAUUUUAUUCAUUGGUGGUUUUCAAGAUUAACCUGGGUUUGAAAUUUCAGAAGAGCUGCAAAGAACAAGACCACCCUCCGGCCCCUUUUCCUUAUCCUAUUUGUCUCCUAUAAUCAUACAUCUGCAUAUAAUCCAUCAAAACGGUUGUCAAAUAUAACCCUGGGAAAAGUCGGGGGCGUAGAUUGAAUGCUUCUCUUCCAACGCUUCUUUAGAAGCAAAGAAAGAAGGUUUGAUCCCUUAAGUCAAGGGAAAAAAAAGCCAAAACUGUCAUUGGAGGUGUCCAGGAGAAGCAACAAGAAGAUAGUAAAUAUAAUAAUGAUUAAAAUAAGAGGAAUCAAGACAUAAAGUUUUUCUUUUGUCCCAACUUAAAUAAUGAAAAAUAACCCCCAGAGGCAGAUUUCUCUUAAAGACAAAGAAACUCAAGUUUCUGAGUGCUCACUUCCUAAACAUUUUCUAAAUCAGUAUUCACUCUCCGGCUGAAUUUUGUAUUAUUUUCCUGAAGGAGGGUCGUCUGAAUUACAUCAGUUUCAAGGUACAUGAGGCCUGGGUCCAUCCUUGUGAAAGACAUUUCUAGUUACAUUUCUGCAUAUCAC